rnacentral:tRNA from 1 species
UCCCUGGUGGUCCAGUGGUUAAGACUCUGCCCUUCCAAUGCAGGGAGGGGAGCAGGUUUGAUCCCUGGUCAGGGAA